rnacentral:rRNA from 1 species
GUCCGGCUGUUCGCCGGUUAAAGCGGUACGCGAGCUGGGUUCAGAGCGUCGUGAGACAGCUCGGACUUUAUCCGCGGUGUGCGUUUACAGUUGAGAGGAGCUCUUGAUAGUACGAGAGGACCUCAAGGGACAAACCUCUGGUGUACCAGUUGUUCUACCAAGGGCAUUGCUGGGUAGCUAUGUUUGGUCGGGAUAAGAGCUGAAAGCAUCUAAGCACGAAGCCCACCUCAAGAUGAACUGUAUGCCU